rnacentral:misc_RNA from 1 species
UCCUCUGUAUAACUGAGCUGCUAUGAC